rnacentral:piRNA from 1 species
UCAAAAGGAAUGGACAGUGUCAUGGUUUC